GAUGAACGCUGGCGGCGUGCCUAAUACAUGCAAGUCGAGCGAACAGACGAGGAGCUUGCUCCUCUGACGUUAGCGGCGGACGGGUGAGUAACACGUGGAUAACCUACCUAUAAGACUGGGAUAACUUCGGGAAACCGGAGCUAAUACCGGAUAAUAUAUUGAACCGCAUGGUUCAAUAGUGAAAGACGGUUUUGCUGUCACUUAUAGAUGGAUCCGCGCCGCAUUAGCUAGUUGGUAAGGUAACGGCUUACCAAGGCAACGAUGCGUAGCCGACCUGAGAGGGUGAUCGGCCACCCUGGAACUGAGACACGGUCCAGACUCCUACGGGAGGCAGCAGUAGGGAAUCUGCCGCAAUGGGCGAAAGCCUGACGGAGCAACGCCGCGUGAGUGAUGAAGGUCUUCGGAUCGUAAAACUCUGUUAUUAGGGAAGAACAAAUGUGUAAGUAACUAUGCACGUCUUGACGGUACCUAAUCAGAAAGCCACGGCUAACUACGU
rnacentral:rRNA from 1 species